rfam:Strongyloides papillosus strain LIN genome assembly, scaffold: SPAL_scaffold0000073
UGGUAGUAUAGUGGUGAGUAUCCGCGCCUGUCACGUGCGAGACCGGGGUUCGAUUCCCCGCCA